GCUACCUCCGACAGCAAAGUUCCAGUAGGGGAGGGCGAAAGAGGGGUCGCCCAGCAUGUCCUGUGGAAGAUUGAGUAAAGGUUGCAGCAGAUGAAAACGGUGCCAGGUGACAAACCCCGGGCCCUCGUGGGAGAAGUCUAUGCCUCCAAAGCUGGUCUGGCCUGGCCCCAGAUGGAGGAGCCUACAAACCUGUGGUGGUGGAAGGAGAUUCUGGGAGGCAGUGUGUCGUCACCGCAGUCACCUCCUGUAGCUGCCUCUGGAUCAACACAUCUUUGCUCGCAUGUCCGCCGAAGAGCUGUGAGAAGCAGAAAAUGGCAUAUUGUGUUGUGACAAGAUGGUCAUUCUCCCACCAGUUUGUGUGUUAGCCUGCUGCACAACUAAUUCCAGUGGAACAUCAACUUGGCCAUCCACAUGUUUUGCAGGCAGAGCCAUGAUUAUGAUCCUUGUUGUUGUUGUUGUUCUUUAUUCAGGAAAUCUACUCUAUUAUAGUAGACCCAAACCCAUUUAUAACCUAAGAUCCAGUUCUCUGUGUGCUUGAGAAAUACACUGCACAACAAAGAGUUGAAUUGCACACAUUGUUUUUCUCUCAAAGCUACAGGCAGUUGUAAUACAUUGCAUUUUUAUUGUUUCAUUUUACCUGUGGUUUCAGCUGUAUCUUCCACCAGCUCUCUGGUCUCCCCUGGUUCCUCCCCUUCUGCCUGAGCACGUACAACUAGAACGUCCAUCACAAAAUUAUCUAGUGUAGGUCGUGCUACAGCAGGUUGGUGUGGCACGAGGUCAUCGGUCGGGGUGAUGAUCUCAUUGCCAUGGUUAGAUUUCUCGUUGCCAGGAGUAUUUUCACCUGUCAUGACCCCACCUAAUGGGGAUGAGCUCAAGGUGUGGGCCUGGUUCUCAGGGCUCUGCUCUGUGGGGGCAUCGGCACCAUUUUCAGGCUGUGGGGCUGAGAUCACCAACACUUUUAAAUGAGGCGUUUGGAAUGUGACAUGCACAUGAACAUUAAGCCAAGAGGCCAAGGCUUGGGUUUGCUGAAUAGACUUAGGGCAGUGUAGAAUAGUGCAUAGAUGUGCUGUGUGUAGCAGGUAGGUAGGUCUGUAGGUCAUGAUUUGUAUGUAUUUGUAUGCAGAAUGGGUUAUAACGUAUCAGUGUUUGCAUGUGUCACAAUAAUCAGGUGUUAAGAGAAUUUUAGAAAUUUAGACUGUUAAAUGGUUAAUGUUCAUGUCAAGA